rnacentral:miRNA from 1 species
CUGAAAACUGAGAUGGCACAAC